UAUGUAGGUGGCAAGCGUUGUCCGGAUUUACUGGGCGUAAAGAGCGCGCAGGCGGUCGUUCAAGUCGCGUGUGAAAGCCCCCGGCUCAACCGGGGAGGGUCGUCGGGGACGGCAUGGCUUGAGGGCGGUAGGGGCCGGUGGAAUCCCUGGUGUAGCGGUGAAAUGCGCAGAUAUCGGGAGGAACACCAAUGGCGAAGGCAGCUCGCUGGGACGUUACUGACGCUGAGACGCGAAAGCGUGGGGAGCAAACAGG
rnacentral:rRNA from 1 species